rnacentral:misc_RNA from 1 species
UUAUAGCUACUCUGCGUUAGCGAUUAAAAUGGCAUCCUUUUUCGAGGAAUGAGAAAAAGAUAUAAUUGGGCGCGACCUUUA